UAAUAAGGAUGGUUGCCACUCACUGUGGCCUU
rnacentral:piRNA from 1 species